GGAGAUGUGGCUCAGUGGUUAACAGUGGUUAAGACUGCUCUUCCAGAGGUCCUGAGUUCAAGUCCCAGCAACUGCA
rnacentral:tRNA from 1 species